rnacentral:ncRNA from 2 species
AGUGAAGAUAGAGGUGCAGGCCUCAAGAGUAAAAGCCCGGAGAAUGAUGAGAUUCCGGGAAGGGCUUUGAAAGGGAUGUCUGCCGAAGUGGGGAAAGGCUCAUAGCUUUUCUCGCUGGUUCUGUACUGAAGAAGUGCAGGACUGUCAAGAUCUUGUGUCUUGGAGGGCUAUCUCACUG